rnacentral:rRNA from 1 species
AUUGAACGCUGGCGGCAGGCUUAACACAUGCAAGUCGAGCGGAGUGAUGGUGCUUGCACUAUCACUUAGCGGCGGACGGGUGAGUAAUGCUUAGGAAUCUGCCAUUUAGUGGGGGACAACAUUCCGAAAGGAAUGCUAAUACCGCAUACGUCCUAUGGGAGAAAGCAGGGGAUCUUCGGACCUUGCGCUAAAUGAUGAGCCUAAGUCGGAUUAGCUAGUUGGUGGGGUAAAGGCCUACCAAGGCGACGAUCUGUAGCGGGUCUGAGAGGAUGAUCCGCCACACUGAGAAUGAAGCAAGGCCAGACUCCUACGGGAGGCAGCAGUGGGGAAUAUUGGACAAUGGGCGGAAGCCUGAUCCAGCCAUGCCGCGUGUGUGAAGAAGGCCUUUUGGUUGUAAAGCACUUUAAGCGAGGAGGAGGCUACUAGUACUAAUACUACUGGAUAGUGGACGUUACUCGCAGAAUAAGCACCGGCUAACUCUGUGCCAGCCGCCGCCGUAAUAC